UACGUAGGGGGCGAGCGUUGUCCGGAGUUACUGGGCGUAAAGCGCACGCAGGCGGUCUGCUAAGUUUGGAGUGACAGUUGGUGGCUUAACUGCCAAAGUGCUUCGAAAACUGACAGACUUGAGGGCUUCAGAGGGACACGGAAUUCCGGGUGGAGUGGUGAAAUGCGUAGAGAUCCGGAGGAACACCAGUGGCGAAGGCGACUCACUGGACGACUGUUGACGCUGAGGUGCGAAAGCGUGGGGAGCAAACAGG
rnacentral:rRNA from 1 species